rnacentral:rRNA from 1 species
CCUACGGGAGGCAGCAGUGGGGGAUAUUGGACAAUGGGGGGAACCCUGAUCCAGCGACGCCGCGUGAGUGAAGAAGUAUCUCGGUAUGUAAAGCUCUAUCAGCAGGGAAGAAGAAAUGACGGUACCUGAGUAAGAAGCCCCGGCUAACUACGUGCCAGCAGCCGCGGUAAUACGUAGGGGGCAAGCGUUAUCCGGAAUUACUGGGGGUAAAGGGAGCGUAGACGGUGAUGUAAGUCUGGAGUGAAAGGCGGGGGCCCAACCCCCGGACUGCUCUGGAAACUAUGUGACUGGAGUGCAGGAGAGGUGAGCGGAAUUCCUAGUGGAGCGGGGAAAUGCGUAGAUAUUAGGAGGAACACCAGUGGCGAAGGCGGCUAACUGGACUGAAACUGACGUUGAGGCUCGAAAGCGUGGGGAGCAAACAGGAUGAGAUACCCUUGUAGUC